GUGGGAUGACGUCAAGUCAGCAUGGCCUUUAUAUCCUGGGCUACACACACGCUACAAUGGGAAGGGACAAUAGGUUGCGAAGCCGCGAGGCGGAGCCAAUCCAGCAAAACUUCCCUCAGUUCAGAUUGCAGGCUGCAACCCGCCUGCAUGAAGUUGGAGUUGCUAGUAAACGCAGGUCAGCCAUGCUGCGUUGAAUACGUUCCCGGGGCUU
rnacentral:rRNA from 1 species